UAUGUCGUAGUCCGGAUUGGAGUCUGCAACUCGACUCCAUGAAGUCGGAAUCGCUAGUAAUCGUAGAUCAGAAUGCUACGGUGAAUACGUUCCCGGGCCUUGUACACACCGCCCGUCACACCAUGGGAGUGGGUUGCAAAAGAAGUAGGUAGCUUAACCUUCGGGAGGGCGCUUACCACUUUGUGAUUCAUGACUGGGGUGAAGUCGUAACAAGGUAACCGUAGGGGAACCUGCGGUUGGAUCACCUCCUUACCUAAAGAUAC
rnacentral:rRNA from 1 species